rnacentral:rRNA from 1 species
ACACUCCUGCGGGAGGCAGCAGUGGGGAAUAUUGGACAAUGGGCGCAAGCCUGAUCCAGCCAUGCCGCGUGAGUGAUGAAGGCCCUAGGGUUGUAAAGCUCUUUCACCGGUGAAGAUAAUGACGGUAACCGGAGAAGAAGCCCCGGCUAACUUCGUGCCAGCAGCCGCGGUAAUACGAAGGGGGCUAGCGUUGUUCGGAUUUACUGGGCUUAAAGCGCACGUAGGCGGACUAUUAAGUCAGGGGUGAAAUCCCGGGGCUCAACCCCGGAACUGCCUUGGAUACUGGUAGUCUUGAGUUCGAAAGAGGUGAGUGGAAUUCCGGGUGUAGAGGUGAAAUUCGUAGAUAUUCGGAGGAACACCAGUGGCGAAGGCGGCUCACUGGCUCGAUACUGACGCUGAUGUGCGAAAGCGUGGGGAGCAAACAGGAUUAGAUACCCCUGUAGUCCCAUGA